rnacentral:lncRNA from 1 species
GCAGUUGCAACCAGACAAAGUGAAAAGGCAGAUAUCUAUUGUUAAUGGGAAACUUUUAGUGUAAGUUUCUAUUCUUUGAUCAGUCAUGGUUGGAAGACUCAUUACAUAACUGUUUUUCAUUCUUGUCCAAUAUUCAUUCAAUUUGCACCUACCAGUUUAUCUUAUGAGACAAUAUUCAUUUCGAAAUUUUGUAUGGCCUGUUUAAUAAUCAUUUUUUCCUCUUUUCCUGCCAAAUUUUCAAAUAUUUUACUUAAGGAGAGUCCUUCCUCUAAAAUACCAUUUUUCUUUAGUAUAUCAAUUUUACCUGGACUUUGCAGUUUAGAAGUUUCUUCAUUUUGUUUAUUUUCUCAUCUGAUUCAAGCACUUUGAGGCAGUUGAGGCCAAGUUUCUUCGUGCAUCAUUUUCUGCUUUUGUAGAUGUGCUUACUGUCACGGGAUGAAUGUUUUGUGCAGCAAACCCGUGCGGCACUUAAACUGUUAGCCUAGAGGGCUACACAUAAUGUAAUUUUGAUGAUAACAAACAUGUGUCUUAAGUAAAAAUAAUAAAUAUUGUAUUUCACAUUUACACUAGUUUUUGAAGGAUAAUAUUUAUGCAAGUGAAUCAAGUGAAAUCAAGAUUGAAGACACUCAACGGACAACAGCGAAAUCAAGAAUAAAGUUUAGAGCUCAACGGACGAAUUAUUGCGACAAAUUCUUGUAAAGCCGGUAUGAUUUAAUUGAUGCAUGAUUUAGCAUUUGAGAAGCUCAAGAGAUUAAUUUAAUUAAAUACUUUUCAUAAACUAAAAUAUUUUAUUUUUAUGAAGUAAAGUAUUUUGUGGAUUUGAGUAAAUUGGACUUAAAUGCUAAGAUUUGAAAUCUUUGAUUUUAAUAAGUAUCAAAUUUCGGAGUUGGAUUUUUUUACAAACAUUUUAAAUGUUUUGGGCCAUACUAUAAUUUAUGAAUAUUUUGAACUAAAGUGAAAGGUUUUGAGAACUUUAAAAAAUAUGGGUAUUAUGUUGAAAAGGAAUUUUGUGCGAAAAAAUAAAAUCUUUGGGGCCAUAUCAUAAUUUUAGAAAGUUUGGGAAAGACAACUAUUCUUAGGAAGUUCUGAAAUUGGACCUAUUUGCAAAGUUUUCUGACAUUUUGGGCCAUAGAAAAAUUAUAGAAAGUUUUGGGCCAAAGUGUAAUUUUAGUGAACAGUAUUACUGUAACAAAAUUCAAAAAUAACGGUAAUAUUAUUGUUCCUGAGUGGCUAGCCGGAUAAUCAAGCGGCGAACCGCUUGAGCGCUAGAAUUUACCUAUAACGGCUAGUUUUUGGGCUUUCACUAUAAAAACUCAACUCAAACUUCAUUUUAAAAAAAAAUGCACGCAAAUAUAAGAUCAUACAACAUAUAUUGAGCUUCCAAAACACAAAUCAUCAUUGAUUGAAUCAUUGUUGAGCUAUUAGUUGCAUAUCAACUCUUAAAGAGAGUUUUUGUUGUAAUUUUCAUUCCUUAUCAAAUUGUGAGUGUGUAAGUGUGGGAAACACUUGGGGUGAAGAGAUUGGGGAGAUAAUCUCUUUGUUGUAAAGGUUCAUUGACACCUUGGAAGUCAAUUGUAAAAACUUGAAGUCUUGGGAGGCUUGGAUAGUGAAAUCCUCGAGCUCGGUUGGCUUAGAGGCGUGGACGUAGGUGAGGAUUGCCGAACCACAUAAAAAUCAGCGCGUUUGUUUUUCUCUUCCCUAACUCUUUUAUUUUUAUGCUUGCUUGAAUUUAUUGUUCUCUAUUUCAUUAAGGCGUUAGAUUGAUUUUACUGUGCGAAUCGUAUUGCAUUAUUUUUAAAAACUCAAUUCACCCCCCUCUUGGGUUGCGUUACUUGUAUUUCAUAAACAACUUUACCGAAUGUUGCUAAGUAAGCCUGGAGCUUCUCGACUAGCUAACCCUAGAGGUUUUCGAAGAGUUAGAGAGAAGAGAGCAAUGGACCCAAAUGAGGAAAAUUGUAUUACUCGAAAGAAAGAUUACAAGAGAGCUUACAAGAAUGCUUAAGUUGCUUGCUCUAAACUUGUUGUUCAAAUGCUAAAUGUCAUGUCCUAUUUAUAGGGGAGGCUUGCCAAGCUCUAGAGAUUCUAGAGAAUUCUACCACAUGCCUAGAAUUCUAGAUAUUUACAUGAGCUAGAAAUGUGUGGAGUAUUUUAGAGUAUUUACAAGCUCAAAUGUACUAGAGUUGCCUAGAACAUUUCGGAAUUGGCCCAAGCUAGCACACUUGGCCUUAUCUUGGGCUCUUGGUGGGGAAAUUGGGCUAGCAACUUGGGCGGUCCGCAACAUUACGCUCGCGACAAAAACAAUCGAACAGUUUGCUCAAGGAAUGGAAUUAUAACAUUGUACUGUCUUUGGCAGUUGGAGAAUCAUUCUUAGUAGGAACUGUAUUACUUUAAUAUGCCUUCUUGUUUUGGAUUAGUUGACAUUUUUGUAACAAGAGAAUCUACACUGUUAGUUUUACAAUUUAAACCUUGAAAUAUCGGAAAGCUGUAACAAAUUCUUCAAAGUUGUGAAUUAUAUUUUGAAAGAAUUAGCUAGGCUGACAUUGAGCAACAAUUUUCUGCAUACAUUUUAUCUUGGGC